UAAUAUAUCGGAACGUACCCUGGAGUGGGGGAUAACGUAGCGAAAGUUACGCUAAUACCGCAUACGAUCUAAGGAUGAAAUGGGGGAUCGCAAGACCUCAUGCUCCUGGAGCGGCCGAUAUCUGAUUAGCUAGUUGGUAGGGUAAAGGCCUACCAAGGCAUCGAUCAGUAGCUGGUCUGAGAGGACGACCAGCCACACUGGAACUGAGACACGGUCCAG
rnacentral:rRNA from 1 species